rnacentral:rRNA from 1 species
UAGGGAAUAUUAGAAAUGGACGAAAGUCUGAUCUAGCGACACCGCGUGUGCGAAGAAGGCCUUCGGGUUGUAAAGCACUUUUUGGAAGGAAUAGGAAGGAAGGUACUUCCAGAAUAAGUCUCGGCUAACUACGUGCCAGCAGCCGCGGUAACACGUAGGAGGCGAACGUUAUCCGGAUUUACUGGGCGUAAAGCGCGUGUAGGUGGUUUUGUAAGUAGGGCGUGAAAGCUCCCGGCUCAACUGGGAGAGGCCGUUCUAAACUACAGAGCUAGAGGAUGGUAGAGGGAGGUGGAAUUCCAGGUGUAGCGGUGGAAUGCGCAGAUAUCUGGAGGAACACCAGUGGCGAAGGCGGCCUCCUGGACCAUUCCUGACACUCAGACGCGAAAGCUAGGGUAGCAAACGGG